GAUCGGCAAAAAAAAUUUUUUUUAUAUGUAUAAAAAAAUGGAUUUAAAUUGGUUAACCCCAAAAUUUUUGUUUAAGGAAAAACCCCAAAGGGUUAAAGGGUUUUAUUGGGGGGAAAAAAAUUUGGGUAAAUGGGAAAUCAUUAACUAAUGAAAUUUUUUUUGUUGGGGGGGGGUGCGGGGAAGGAAUUUCGCUAAAAAAAAUUUUGACCUUUUUUUUCAAAAAAAACUUAAAAAGGAUGGUAAAAAAAUUUUACCCUCCCCAAGGGAAUUAUUUUAAAGGGCCGCGGUAAACGGACCGGGGGAAGGAAGAAUAAUCAUUAGUCUUUUAAUGGAGGGUUUGUAUGAAUGGUGGAACAAAAAGUAAUCUGUUUCAGUUAUAAUAGUGGAAUUAAAUUUUUAAGUGAAAAGGCUUAAAAAUUUUAAGGGGAGGAUAAGACCCUAUAAAAUUUAACAAUAAUUGGAUUAAAUUAUAAAUUGUUAGUAAAACUGGAUUUUAAUUAAUGUUUGUUGCGUUGGGGCGACGGGAAUAUAAUUAGUAACUGUUUUUAAAUAUUUUAUUAACAAGUAUAAUGGAAGAAUAAUUAAUCCUUUAUUAAAGAUUAAAAGAUUAAGUAACUUUAGGGAUAACAGCGUAAUUUUUUUUUGAGAUUCUUCAUCGACAAGAAGGUUUGCGACUUGGAUGUUGAAUUAAGGUAUCCUUAUAAUGCAGCAGUUAUAAAGGAAGUUUUUUUGUACCUUUAAAUCCUAAGAAGAUUGGAAUUAAGUCCGGAGCGAGCCAGAUAGGUUUUAUUUUUUUAAUUUUAUUAAAAUAACUUUAGUAUGAAAGGAUUAAGUAGUUAAAAUAAUUUAAUUAAAAAGAUUAAUUUUAAUUGAUUUGUUGCUUAGGCAGAAUUAUA
rnacentral:rRNA from 1 species